GAUGAAGAACGUAGCGAAAUGCGAUAAUUAAUGUGAAUUGCAGAAUUCCGUGAAUCAUCGAGUCUUUGAACGCACAUUGCGCCUCAUGGCAUUCCGUGAGGCAUGCCCAUCUCAGCGUUAGAAAAUAUUCUCAAAUUUUAGUUUUGUGCUAAAAUUUGGAUCAUGUCAAGGAAGCUAUUACUAUUAUUGUGAUCGCUCUUUGGAAAUUGAUAGGUCUUUGAGUUGCUACUCAUAGAACGUGAUGAAUCUUUCUUCGUUCUAUUGUAAUUCACUCUGGUAGUCCUAAAACUUGUAUGCCUGUGGCAUAUCUUAUAAUUUGACCUGAGAUUGGGUAGGGAUACCCGCUGAACUUAAGCAUAUCAAUAAGCGGAGGA
rnacentral:misc_RNA from 1 species